rnacentral:rRNA from 1 species
CCUACGGGAGGCUGCAGUGGGGAAUAUUGGACAAUGGGCGAAAGCCUGAUCCAGCCAUGCCGCGUGUGUGAAGAAGGCCUUCGGGUUGUAAAGCACUUUCAGUGGGGAAGAAAGCCUUGGGGCUAAUACCCUCGAGGAAGGACAUCACCCACAGAAGAAGCACCGGCUAACUCCGCGCCAGCAGCCGCGGUAAUACGGAGGGUGCGAGCGUUAAUCGGAAUUACUGGGCGUAAAGCGCGCGUAGGCGGUCUGAUAAGCCGGUUGUGAAAGCCCCGGGCUCAACCUGGGAACGGCAUCCGGAACUGUCAGGCUAGAGUGCAGGAGAGGAAGGUAGAAUUCCCGGUGUAGCGGUGAAAUGCGUAGAGAUCGGGAGGAAUACCAGUGGCGAAGGCGGCCUUCUGGACUGACACUGACGCUGAGGUGCGAAAGCGUGGGUAGCAAACAGGAUUAGAUACCCCGGUAGUC